rnacentral:rRNA from 1 species
AGUGAACGCUGGCGGUAGGCCUAACACAUGCAAGUCGAACGGCAGCACAGUAAGAGCUUGCUCUUACGGGUGGCGAGUGGCGGACGGGUGAGGAAUACAUCGGAAUCUACUUUUUCGUGGGGGAUAACGUAGGGAAACUUACGCUAAUACCGCAUACGACCUACGGGUGAAAGCAGGGGAUCUUCGGACCUUGCGCGAUUGAAUGAGCCGAUGUCGGAUUAGCUAGUUGGCGGGGUAAAGGCCCACCAAGGCGACGAUCCGUAGCUGGUCUGAGAGGAUGAUCAGCCACACUGGAACUGAGACACGGUCCAGACUCCUACGGGGGGCAGCAGUGGGGAAUAUUGGCCAAUGGGCGCAAACCUGAUCCAGCCAUACCACGUGGGUGAAGAAGGCCUUCAGGUUGUAAGGCCCUUUUGUUGGGAAAGAAAAGCAGCAGGUUAAUACCCCGCUGUUCUGACGGUACCCAAAGAAUAAGCACCGGCUAACUUCGUG